AAUGCAUAUAUCUGUUCAAUAUGCAUGUGAAAUGAAGAUCAAUCACAUUGGCAUUUAACUAGGUACUCUGAUGGAAAAAUAAAAUACUGUAAUCAAAAUGAGUGAUGAUUUAUGCUAAAAAUGUGUUAAUUUUGAAAACCAUUGGUCAUAAAUGAUUUUGCAUGUAGUUUAUAAAUAUACAUGCUAGGUAAGAUUGAAUUAUCUAGUUGUUUAAUUUUUCUUCUUGUUCCAUGAACAAUUGAUCAUAUUGUGCAAGCUUUCCUUUAUUUGUUUAAUAAUCAGUUAACAAUAAUUCUAGUCUAAAUGUAUAUGUGUACAUGCAAGUAUGUAUAAUCUAUCAACAUGAAAAUGUCAAAUUGAUCACAUCUGUAAUAAAUUUAAUUGUCAAAUCUAACUGUAAAUGUAUGAAUUCAAAUCUCUUUAAAUUGGGGUGUAAUAUAUGGGUGCACAUAGCUAUGUACAUUUUAUAGAUACCCCUAUUAUAUAUUUAUUAUGCAAAGAUUUAUUUUUGUAGAAGAAAAAAUUUACAGAAUAUUGUGCAUGUAUAUACAUGGACUUUUUUAGAUUGCAAAAUCUUUUAAAUUUACACAUUUAUAAUUGUCACAUUUAUUUAACAUAUAGUGUAGUAUUUGUAUGGGGUCUUUUUACAUAUUUUUGAUAUACAUGUAUCUAUAUUACUUAUAUUCACAUUCGGAUUUAAAUAUCUUUCUAUCAUGCAUAUGAUGAUUUUUUUUUUUUAUUUAUAUCCACAUCCUAGCCACAUGUGUAUACAGUAUAUAUGGAAUUCCACCACCUUUGAUAUACAUGUCAUAUGGGCCUUAUUCGUGAAUUAUUUAUUUUUGUAUAUGAUAUGAUAUUUGUUAAUUAAACUGUUAGAGUUGUGACCUUCCCCAGUAAUACAUUUAUAACUGUUAUUGUAAGAAAUGGGGAUGAGGCAACCUUUUCUACAUUUGAUAAACUGUAAAAUUCAUCUUGACAAAAUAAAAAUGAUUCCUUGAUAAUUGCACGCCAGGUCAUAUGAUAUUCAUUGUCCUGUAAGUGGCCAGUAGAUUUCCCCUUCCCUCUUCCAACAUCUCUCAAUCUGUUUACAAUGUCUUUCAAUUAUUUGUUUAUGUGAUUACAAAAUUGUUAUUUUGUCUAUUUGUUGUUAAUUUAAUUACAGAAACUGAUCACUGCUUCCACGAACAUUCAUUGAUUUAAGAACAUUCUCUCUGAGUUGUGAUAUCCAAUGUAAAACAUAUCAUUUGUUUUAUAUAUGUAUAUCCAUGCAUACAUUACAUCACAAUUGUUGGUUAUUUUUGUAUCAUAUAUCACAUGUCAAGCAUAUUUUUUCUAUGAAAUGCUAAUAUUUAUAAAUAUAUUAAAUAUAUAUAUUC
rnacentral:sRNA from 1 species